ensembl:lncRNA
GGGGAAGGAAGGCUGUCUGCUGUCUGGUAGGAGGGCUUUGUCUGUGCCUUUCUCUCUCUGUUUCUUUCUGUUUUUCUUUCUCUCUCUCUCUCCUCUUCUCUCUCUCUCACUCGCUUGCUCUGUCUCUGUCUCUCUCUCCCUCUCUGCCCCCCCUCCCUCCCUCUCUCUUGCUCUCUCUCUCUCUUCCCGUCUCUGUGGUUUGUAAGGUAGGUUGCAGUGUGUGUAUAUACACAACAUCAAGAGCAGGAAAAUGGACUCAUUAGGGAGGCAGGCAGUCAUUACCACUCACACUGUACUUCCAGGGAGACACCGAUUAUGAGAAGAGAAACUCAGCGCUGGGGAAGAAGUCACACAAAAAGAAGUGUUAAGAAUUUCCCUUUGAUGCUCUGAAGGCUAAAGAGUACCUGAUAAACUGCAAGUCUGUCUGUGCCCCAUAGCUGCACAGUAGUUAAUAUUUACAAAAUACCUGACUAGACUCUUCAAGAUUCCUCCCCCCAGUCUUCCUCGCUAUGCGUCAAGGAUGAGAGGCACAUAGAAGAGGCAAGGUGACUUGUGACUUAGCCUGUGUCACAGAGUAUGUGAAUUCACUUUCAAAUGAGAAGUUUGGAGACUCACAAAGGGAUCCUUGCUAAGUGGAAAAACAGUUGACUCAAGCACUCUCUUACCUCUAACUUCUUUUUCACCAGCACAAACUCCCUCCCUGUAUUCAAGACUUCUUUUCUCAUCUACUCCUCAGUGGACACCGAAAAAAAAUUCUUUUAAAGAACUGGUUCAUAACAUAAAAGCCUGAAGUCUCAGUUAAACCUGUUAACUUGCCAAGGGUAAGGGUAUGUAUUGUUCACUGGAGAACAGAAUGCCGUAUUCUCCCAGAUCUGCUGGGGAACAGGGAGGGUGGCAGUACAAAUUAGCAUCAGAACAAAGCUUUAUCACAGUGGGAUCCCAGGUUGUUUUAGGUAUAAGAUUCGAAACAAAAAUAUGGGAAGGGAUGGAAUCCAUCAAAUCUAAUAAAGGAAAUUGUAGUAGAUUCAGGGAACUUGGACCCCUGAAUUGCAGUGGCCAGGUUGGGGAGGAAAUGGGCAGUUAAACAAAGUAGUGCUGUAUCUUUCUUUCAUUGUUUGACGAAAUAAUUUUUACCCCUUUUAACUGGAAUGUUUUUUGAAAAAAAGAAAUGAGCCUGGUAUAUCUGAAACAAAGAGCUUACACAGUCACCGAGCUGGUUGGUUUUUAUACCUUCCUUUACUGAGUAUUGUCCUUCAGUACAAUACAGAGCCAUUUCUUUGUUCUCACAAGCUAGCAGUUAAAUUGUAUGUAAAUGUAUGCAAAUUAGAUGCUGUCUAAUAAAGAGAGUCAUUAGAUGGAAG